AUUGAACGCUGGCGGAAUGCUUUACACAUGCAAGUCGAACGGCAGCACGGACUUCGGUCUGGUGGCGAGUGGCGAACGGGUGAGUAAUGUAUCGGAACGUGCCCAGUCGUGGGGGAUAACGUAGUGAAAAUUACGCUAAUACCGCAUACGAUCGAUGGAUGAAAGCGGGGGAUCGCAAGACCUCGCGCGAUUGGAGCGGCCGAUAGCAGAUUAGGUAGUUGGUGGGGUAAAGACCCACCAAGCCAACGAUCUGUAGCUGGUCUGAGAGGACGACCAGCCACACUGGAACUGAGACACGGUCCAGACUCCUACGGGAGGCAGCAGUGGGGAAUUUUGGACAAUGGGCGAAAGCCUGAUCCAGCCAUUCCGCGUGCAGGAUGAAGGCCCUCGGGUUGUAAACUGCUUUUGUACAGAACGAAAAGGUUUCUACUAAUACUAGGAGCUCAUGACGGUACUGUAAGAAUAGGCACCGGCUAACUACGUGCCAGCAGCCGCCGCCG
rnacentral:rRNA from 1 species